rnacentral:rRNA from 1 species
CCAAUAGCGUAUAUUAAAGUUGUUGCAGUUAAAAAGCUCGUAGUUGAAUUUCGGGAUCAAUGUGUCGGUCGUGCCUUCGGUACGUACUGGUAUCAUUGGUCUCUCCUUUCUGACGAACCAUGAUGUCAUUAAUUUGGUGUUAUGGGGAGUUAGGACUGUUACUUUGAAAAAAUUAGAGUGUUUAAAGCAGGCUUUAGCUUGAAUACAUUAGCAUGGAAUAAUGAAAUAGGACGUUCGAACCUAUUUUGUUGGUUUCUAGGAUCAACGUAAUGAUUAAUAGGGAUAGUUGGGGGCAUUAGUAUUCAAUUGUCAGAGGUGAAAUUCUUGGAUUUAUUGAAGACUAACUACUGCGAAAGCAUUUGCCAAGGAUGUUUUCAUUAAUCAAGAACGAAAGUUAGGGGAUCGAAGACGAUCAGAUACCGUCGUAGUCUUAACCAUAAACUAUGCCGACUAGGGAUCGGAUGAUGUUAAUUUUUUAAUGACUCAUUCGGCGCCUUCUG